rnacentral:rRNA from 1 species
GCUGCCUAGGGUAAAACUGGUAACUAGGGCUAAGUCGUAACAAGGUAGCCGUACCGGAAGGUGCGGCUGGAACACCUCCUUUCUAGAGC